rnacentral:rRNA from 1 species
AACGAACGCUGGCGGCGUACCUAACACAUGCAAGUCGUACGAGAAAUUCCGAUUCGUCGGGAGAGUAAAGUGGCGAACGGGUGAGUAACACUAGGGUAAUCUUCCCUUAAAUAAGGGAUAACGUUGCGAAAGCGACGCUAAUACCUUAUAAGACUACGAUCUCUUAGGAGGUAGUAGGAAAAGAUGGCCUCUGUUUCAAGCUAUCGUUUAAGGAUGAGCCCUAGCACUAUUAGCUAGUUGGUGAGGUAACGGCUCACCAAGGCGACGAUGGUUAGCUGGUCUGAGAGGAUGGCCAGCCACACUGGAACUGAGACACGGUCCAGACUCCUACGGGAGGCAGCAGUGAGGAAUAUUGCGCAAUGGGGGCAACCCUGACGCAGUGACGCCGCGUGAGUGAUGAAGGCUUUCGAGUCGUAAAGCUCUGUUAGGUGGAAAGAAACAUCCCGGCGCUAAUAUCGUCGGGACUUGACGGUACCACCAGAGGAAGCACCGGCUAACUCCGUGCC